rnacentral:lncRNA from 1 species
AUUCUUAUCAGAAUCUCAGCUAUGAGAAAUAAUAAAUGUGAAGCGCCAUGUAAGCAGUAGUUCUCAACAUUUUCUAAUUUAAGUACCCAAAUCCCUGCCCCUUCUCUUCCCCAAAUAUGUCCUUGCGUUGGAAAAAGAGAAACUGCCCUGGUUGAUUGCGUCUGGGGACUCAGAUCUCUGCUUGCCAGGGGCCUCUUUCCUUCCUUCCCUUAGCCCCUGAAGCACUGGGGAACCACUGGAGCUCCAUGGAACCUAGUUUGAGAAUCGACCUUAAAGUUUCUGCAAUCCUUCCGCUCACUCCAUCAGUGUUCUGCUAUGCGUUCCGUAGGAUAUUAACAAGCGCUUUGUGAAGAAAGGACUCUGGGAUUGUUCCAUGGCCUGCCAAAAUCAGACAUGCUUUCCCUUCUCGAACUAGCUCACACUUGGAUUCUUUUGAGAUGGAAACGCUCGUGUACCAAGAGACAGGAACUGGACAAAAGGUAACACACACCCUUAAUUUCUCUUCACAGGCUAAGCCAGCAGACUGUCCCUGUUGCUCCCUGCCAUCUGCUGAAGGCGCAACUCUAUGGUUUUCCCACUGGUCUGAUUGAGGAAGCCACCCCUCAUUCUCCUCCUUCAUCUCCAGGGAAACUCUUAACCCUAGUAAAAGUGUAGUGCUUUGAAUCCCUCGAGGAAGGUGUGCCUGCAAAGCCAAGGGUGUGACUAGAUCAGCCAGGAUCUUCCUGUUCUGACCAAAGGAGCCAAUUAGAUGAUCUAAUGGGAAUCUUUUUUGUCAUUCAGAAAUUAUAUGAUGCUGUGAAGCUGCCCACUCUUAUGUACCCUUGAUGAUGAUAAUAAUGUCUCCUUCCAGAGUCACAUAGCAAAAUGUAAUAACCUCCAGUGGCAGCCUUGGAGUUAAUGACCCUUCACCCAUUUGAUUGCUGGGUAGAGUGAGGCAAAAAAAGAUCAGAGGCCUAGCUCACCUUCCCUCUUCCCUCAGCAGGGAUACUUGCCCAGUGGGCUCACUGAAAGCAGGAGUCAUAUUUCUAUACCAUCAAUCUGAAAUUCCAGCUACAGCAGAAUUCCCCCCCCCAAUUUUUUUGGGGGGUGGGGGGGAGUAGUGUUUUGGGGAACACUAGUCUCAUGGGAGACUCUGAGGGGAGUUUGGAAAAUGUUUCUAGUCCUUCAUUAGCUUUUCUUAUGUACAUUAGCAUAUUAAAGGCUCUGAGAAGUCUUGUAGUAAAGGCAUCUUUUUUUAGUUGUUAUUA